GAUAGGACUGUGUCGUCAGCGUGAUUGGACACUGACGCUGAGUCAACUAGCCUUGUCUGCGCGGUUCGUAGUGCCGAGAACCGGGGCUGGCAGGGUGCCGAGGGGGGAUACCCUGCCAGCCCGCU
rnacentral:ncRNA from 1 species